UACGGAGAGUGCAAACGUUGUUCGGAUUCACUGGGCGUAAAGGGCACGUAGGCGGCUCGGCAAAUCGGUCGUGGAAUCUCGACGCUUACCGUCGAAACGGCGGCCGAAAAUACCGGGCUCGAGGGCGUGAGGGGUCACUGGAACUCCUGGUAAAGCGGUGAAAUGCGCAGAUAUCAGGAGGAACACCGGUGGCGAAGGCGGGUCUCUGGGCCGAAACUGACGCUGAGGAGCGAAAGCGUGGGGAGCAAACAGG
rnacentral:rRNA from 1 species